CCCAGAGUGAAAGACAGAGGAACCAAUCGAGGCUCGGCUGACCUCAGACGUCUAAGGCGAUAGGCGUUGCUAAGAAAAGGGGGUGGGACGAUACCCAGUUGCCAAGACGACGGCUUCCGGGUGGGCGGCUUGAGGUGGCUUCCGGCCGCCAGGCGAGACUCCGCGGGAAAACUCCCUGCUAGAGAGACUAGGAGAUUUGGGGCUGCGGCCGUUUCCUCCGGAGCACCCACGGGACUGUGUGCUGGGGUCCCUCCACCGGCUGUGUCCUUUAUUCUUCUUUCUCACCCAACGAUUUACCUGAACGGUUAUAAAGUGCACGUUAUUUCCCUAAGCACUUUGAGUAUAUUGGCCCACUGCAUUCUGGACUUCAAAAUUUCUGAUGCGAAAUAUGCUGAUACUUUUGUUGAAGAAAUCUGGGCUUUGAGCAUCUGUAAGAUAUUUGUUGGAAGGUUUUGUCUGGUCCUUCUUACUGAUGUGUUGCUCUUCUUCAUGGCUCGUGAAAACUAUUAGAGUCAUCCAAGGUUUGGAGACAGAAAGGAGCACCGCCAAGUGAGGCAGAGCAGUCUCAGAAACAUAGGAAAAUGGUGGGAAGAGAGAUCAGCAACGUUAACUGGGUGUCAAGAAAACAUACCGAGAUUGAAGCCAUCCACUUCUGCAGGAACACCGAAAAGAAAGCUUACAAUCUGAAGGUGUCCGUUCCUACACUGGUCAGACCACUGUCCUUGGGGCAGCUGGGGUCUUUGGGACCCUCCACCGGGCUCGCCGGUCCGUCGGACUUUUGGCUGAGAUCCGUGUCAGACUCCUCCGAAUAGUCGUCUGUUGGCAUCGAGGGCUGAACCCCUGAGGUGCUGCAUGAACUUGAG
rnacentral:lncRNA from 1 species